CCUACGGGAGGCAGCAGUGAGGAAUAUUGGUCAAUGGGCGGGAGCCUGAACCAGCCAAGUCGCGUGAGGGAAGACGGUCCUAUGGAUUGUAAACCUCUUUAGGCGGGGAGCAAUGCCGGGCACGUGUGCCCGGAGGGAGAGUACCCGCCGAAUUAGCAUCGGCUAACACCGUGCCAGCAGCCGCGGUGAUACGGGGGAUGCGAGCGUGAUCCGAAUUUAUUGGGGUAAAAGGGUGCGUAGGCGGAUUUUAAAGUCAGCGGUAAAAUGUCCGGGCUCAACCCGGGCCGGCCGUUGAAACUGGAGAGCUUGAGUGGGCGAGAAGUAUGCGGAAUGCGUGGUGUAGCGGUGAAAUGCAUAGAUAUCACGCAGAACUCCGAUGGCGAAGGCAGCAUACCGGCGCCCGACUGACGCUGAGGCACGAAAGCGUGGGGAGCGAACAGGAUUAGAUACCCCAGUAGUC
rnacentral:rRNA from 1 species